GCAAGUUAUCUAACCAGUCUUUGUGGACUAGCACAUGGUGUGUUUUGGAAAAAGUAUCACGUGCUGCUGAAAAGAAAGUAUAUCCUGUUGUAGAAGUAUAUCCUGUUGAGCUUCACUGUCUUCAUCUGAAGAAGAGAAUUAUGUUAACCACCUCACAGACGGCGAAGAGGAAUGAAUAAAGUCAUAUAUGUUGGAGCAAAUCUACGGUACUGAUUGUAUUUGUGGUGUAUGUGAUAAUCCUAGUAACUAUCAUCUGUUGAACAUCUUUAUGGGGGAGACCCUUUCAAGUCUUCCUACAACCUCUUUUGAGCUAUGACCACAGGUGUGUAUCACUGUGCCUGGCAGAGGUAGGCGUUAUCAUUAAGCCAAUUUCUACAGAAGAGGACAUUUGAGGCCUAACGAAGUUAAGUAACCUGCCCAAAGGAAUCCGCUAUGAAGCUGUGGACUCAGGCUCUGCAGCCCAGUCUGACUUCCAAGUGGCGCUUUAACCCUUCCUGUGAGCUGCUCUCCAGGAGACUGGGCCGUGCAACUGUGAGGGCUGAGCCUGAGCUUGAAAACCUCCCCGAGUCCUGGGGUUGUGGAGCUUAGGAGGAGGAGCCACAAGUUGCACCUAGCACAGAGCUGGUUCUUAGGAAGCAGGGGCUACAAUUACAUUAGAAGAAAAUGUCCCAUAACUCACUUGUGUCCAUGUGGCUUGGGUGAUCCUCUACCUACCCUGAAGGCCUGCAAGCCCCAC